UACGGGGGGAGCAAGCGUUGUUCGGAUUUACUGGGCGUAAAGGGCGCGUAGGCGGCCAGCACAAGUCAGUUGGUGAAAUCUCCCGGGCUUAACUCGGAAAGGUCAACUGAUACUGUGCGGCUAGAGUGCGGGAAGGGGCAACUGGAAAUUCUCGGUGUAGCGGUGAAAUGCGUAGAUAUCGAGAGGAACACCUGCGGCGAAGGCGGCGCUCUGGGCCGGUACUGACGCUGAGGAGCGAAAGCGUGGGUAGCAAACAGG
rnacentral:rRNA from 1 species